rnacentral:rRNA from 1 species
UUAAUACCGGAUAGAUCAAAGAUACUGGAAUGUUCUCUGGUCCAAAACUCCGGUGCCCAAGGAUGGGUCUGCGGCCUAUCAGGUAGUAGUGGGUGUAACGUACCUACUAGCCAGCGACGGGUAAGGGUUGUGAGAGCAAGAUCCCUGAGAUGGAUUCUGAGACAUGAAUCCAGGCCCUACGGGGUGCAGCAGGCGGGAAAACUUUACACUGCGGGAAACCGCGAUAAGGGGACCCCGAGUGCCAGCACCUAGUGCUGGCUGUCCAGUUGUCCAAAUAACAACUGUUAGCAAGGGCCGGGCAAGACCGGUGCCAGCCGCCGCGGUAACACCGGCGGCCCGAGUGGUAGCCGCUAUUAUUGGGUUUAAAGGGUCCGUAGCCGGCUUAUUAAGUCUCUUGGGAAAUCUGGCGGCUCAAUCGUCAGGCGUUCA